rfam:Candidatus Spechtbacteria bacterium RIFCSPLOWO2_01_FTLL_43_12 rifcsplowo2_01_scaffold_16480, whole genome shotgun sequence.
GCCCCCGUAGCUCAGCUUGGAUAGAGCGGAGGUUUUCUAAACCUUAGGUCGCAGGUUCAAAUCCUGCCGGGGGCG